UAUCCAGACUCCUACGGGAGGCAGCAGUGGGGGAUAUUGCACAAUGGGGGGAACCCUGAUGCAGCGACGCCGCGUGGGUGAAGAAGCGCCUCGGCGCGUAAAGCCCUGUCAGCAGGGAAGAAAAUGACGGUACCUGAAGAAGAAGCCCCGGCUAACUACGUGCCAGCAGCCGCGGUAAUACGUAGGGGGCAAGCGUUAUCCGGAUUUACUGGGUGUAAAGGGGGCGCAGACGGCGAUGCAAGCCAGGAGUGAAAGGCCGGGGCCCAACCCCGGGACUGCAUUGGAAACUGCGAGGCUGGAGUGUCGGAGAGGCAGGCGGAAUUCCUAGUGUAGCGGUGAAAUGCGUAGAUAUUAGGAGGAACACCAGUGGCGAAGGCGGCCUGCUGGACGAUGACUGACGCUGAGGCUCGAAAGCGUGGGGAGCAAACAGGAUUAGAUACCCGGGUAA
rnacentral:rRNA from 1 species